rnacentral:lncRNA from 1 species
AUACAUUCAAUAUAACAAGCUCACAUAUUAAUUGUCAAUAUAUGUUAUAUUAGGCAUGAUUAUAUUAAUUACCUGUUCAGUAAGCUUGUUUUUUCUUGGAUGGUUCAGGAUCAUUUUCCACUUGAGAAUCUGAUUUCGAAUUAUCUUUAUAUCCCAUUAAAGUAGGUACGGCGAACUUUCCAAUUCUAUUCUUGAUGGUACUUGUGAAGCAAUUUUUCUCAAAGUGAAAUUCACAAACGUACUUCAAUUUCAAUUUCUUCAGAGAUAGAUCUUUUAAAUAGUUUAGUUCCUUUUCUUUAGAGAAUUGACCCAAAGCUUUGACCUAAAAUUAUUGUAUUUCUAAGUCAUUUUACUUAUGAUAUAUUUGAUUUUAAAUUUAAAAUAAUGGUAUCGGAUAAAUUCGUAGAGAACAAAUAUGAUCUGCUUACCUGAUUUCGUUUGGAGGAAAAUGAAAUAAUGAAAUUUUUUCUUUUGGAAAUUCUAUGCCGCAAACAAUACAUUUCGUUAUUCUUUGACGUUUAUUCAUUUUGAUUAAUUAAUUUAAACAACUAAAUCGUGAAAGCACGCGGUUGAAAUUAUGGCCGAUGGCUCUCUACGUUGCCAUUCAUUGUCACAAAAAACGAUUUUAUAUUCUUUAAGUUUAUCAUCAUAACAGUUAUCAUAAAAAUAUUUCUUUUAUUCCAUGAUAAAUUAAUUUAUACAUCAUAAAGCUACUAGAUUGAUGAACUACUUUCGAGGGCGCUGCUAUCAACAAAUGACGCAAAAUUUCCACAAGUUGCGAGAGUUUGGUCUCUGUUCCUUAUACUCUGUGGCUACUAGUAGCAGCAGUGACGAAGAAACGAUAGAAAAUUCGGAAAAUUUAGAAUUUCUACAGGAUUUUAAUAAUCGAAUUAGACGAAAUUGGAUUAAAAGAAGAAAUGACAUGGAUUGUUGUUUCUGCCUCUUCUAUAUUUAGAUAAAGC